rnacentral:lncRNA from 13 species
AGCCCUGUAGAGCCCUAUGGGAGUCCUGUAAAGUCCUGUAGAACCCUAUGGGAGUCCUGUAGAGCCCUAUGGGAGUCCUGUAGAGCCCUGUGGGAGUCCUGUAGAGCCCUAUGGGAGUCCUGUAGAGCCCUAUGGG